UGGGGAAUAUUGCACAAUGGGCGAAGCCUGAUGCAGCAACGCCGCGUGAGUGAUGAAGGCCUUCGGGUUUGUAAAGCUCUGUCUUUUGGGACGAUAAUGACGGUACCAAAGGAGGAAGCCACGGCUAACUACGUGCCAGCAGCCGCGGUAAUACGUAGGUGGCAAGCGUUGUCCGGAUUUACUGGGCGUAAAGGAUGCGUAGGCGGAUUUUUAAGUGAGAUGUGAAAUACCCGGGCUUAACUUGGGUGCUGCAUUUCAAACUGGGAAUCUAGAGUGCGGGAGAGGAGAAUGGAAUUCCUAGUGUAGCGGUGAAAAGUGCGUAGAGAUUAGGAAGAACACCAGUGGCGAAGGCGAUUCUCUGGACCGUAACUGACGCUGAGGCAUGAAAGCGUGGGUAGCAAACAGGAUUAGAUACCCUGGUAGUCCACGCCGUAAAACGAUGAGUACUAGGUGUAGGAGGUAUCGACCCCUUCUGUGCCGCAGUUAAACACAAUAAAGUACUCCGCCUGGGGAAGUACGAUCGCAAGAUUAAAAACUC
rnacentral:rRNA from 1 species